UACGUAGGGUGCAAGCGUUGUCCGGAAUUAUUGGGCGUAAAGAGCUCGUAGGCGGUCUGUCGCGUCGGCUGUGAAAACCCGGAGCUCAACUCCGGGCCUGCAGUCGAUACGGGCAAACUGGAGUACUGCAGGGGAGACUGGAAUUCCUGAUGUAGCGGUGAAAUGCGCAGAUAUCAGGAGGAACACCGGUGGCGAAGGCGGGUCUCUGGGCAGUAACUGACGCUGAGGAGCGAAAGCGUGGGGAGCGAACAGG
rnacentral:rRNA from 1 species